UACGGGGGGGGCAAGCGUUGUUCGGAAUUACUGGGCGUAAAGGGCUCGUAGGCGGCCAACUAAGUCGGACGUGAAAUCCCCGGGCUUAACCUGGGAACUGCAUUUGUGACUGCAUCGCUGGAGUGCGGCAGAGGGGGAUGGAAUUCCGCGUGUAGCAGUGAAAUGCGUAGAUAUGCGGAGGAACACCGAUGGCGAAGGCAAUCCCCUGGGCCUGCACUGACGCUCAUGCACGAAAGCGUGGGGAGCAAACAGG
rnacentral:rRNA from 1 species